CUACGGGAGGCAGCAGUCAAGAACCUUCCACAAUGGACGCAAGUCUGAUGGAGCGACGCCGCGUGCGGGAAGAAGAUCUUAGGAUCGUAAACCGCUUUUCUAGGGGAUGAAGUUUUCUGACAGUACCCUAGGAAUAAGGGGGGACUAAUCACGUGCCAGCAGUAGCGGUAAUACGUGACCCUCAAUCGUUGUCCGGAUUUACUGGGCGUAAAGAGUCUUAAGGCUGUUUAGAAAGUCUCUGGUUAAAACUUUGGGCUUAACCUAAAGACUGUCAGAGAUACUGCUAAACUAGAGGGCGUUAGAGGCUAGCGGAACGUACGGUGUAGGGGUGGUAUCCGUUGAUAUCGUGCGGAACACCAAAAGCGAAGGCAGCUAGCUGGGGCGACCCUGACGCUGAUUGACGAAAGCUAGGGGAGUGAAGAGGAUUAGAUACCCGUGUAGUC
rnacentral:rRNA from 1 species